UUGCACCUCCUCUUCCCUUUCUGUAAUGUGUUUUCAUGGGAGAGGAAUGUUGAGGGCAAAGGCACACUGUUUGAGACUGUGUUAUCUCUUUGUCAGUAAACGAAGAUUCAACCCAAUUGCCGCCCGCCUAUUUAUUUGGUCAGAAGAAAACACACAACGCAGACAACAAGCAGUUACACUAGUGACCUAGAGCUUUUCAAAUGGAAAGGAGUAGGACGCUUGUCUUCCCAGAUGGCCGGGAGAUAUGUAAGAAGAUGCAUCAACUCCAGUUUUUACAGUUUUUACAUCUGUCAAAUGUUUUAAUGAUUUUAAUAAAUGUCACCUGAAUUUCA